rnacentral:rRNA from 1 species
CCUACGGCGGGCAGCAGUGGGGAAUAUUGGGCAAUGGGCGCAAGCCUGACCCAGCAACGCCGCGUGAAGGAAGAAGGCUUUCGGGUUGUAAACUUCUUUUCUCAGGGACGAAGAAAGUGACGGUACCUGAGGAAUAAGCCACGGCUAACUACGUGCCAGCAGCCGCGGUAAUACGUAGGUGGCAAGCGUUAUCCGGAUUUAUUGGGUGUAAAGGGCGUGUAGGCGGGAGCGCAAGUCAGAUGUGAAAACUCAGGGCUCAACCCUGAGCCUGCAUUUGAAACUGUGUUUCUUGAGUGCUGGGGAGGCAAUCGGAAUUCCGGGUGUAGCGGUGAAAUGCGUAGAUAUACGGAGGAACCCCAGUGGCGAAGGCGGAUUGCUGGACAGUAACUGACGCUGAGGCGCGAAAGCGUGGGGAGCAAACAGGAUUAGAUACCCCAGUAGUC